rnacentral:rRNA from 1 species
AGUGAACGCUGGCGGUAGGCCUAACACAUGCAAGUCGAACGGCAGCACAGUAAGAGCUUGCUCUUACGGGUGGCGAGUGGCGGACGGGUGAGGAAUACAUCGGAAUCUACUUUUUCGUGGGGGAUAACGUAGGGAAACUUACGCUAAUACCUCAUACGACCUACGGGUGAAAGCAGGGGAUCUUCGGACCUUGCGCGAUUGAAUGAGCCGAUGUCGGAUUAGCUAGUUGGCGGGGUAAAGGCCCACCAAGGCGACGAUCCGUAGCUGGUCUGAGAGGAUGAUCGGCCACACUGGAACUGAGACACGGUCCAGACUCCUACGGGAGGCAGCAGUGGGGAAUAUUGGACAAAGGGCGCAAGCCUGAUCCAGCCAUACCGCGUGGGUGAAGAAGGCCUUCGGGUUGUAAAGCCCUUUUGUUGGGAAAGAAAAGCAGCAGGUUAAUACCCCGCUGUUCUGACGGUACCCAAAGAAUAAGCACCGGCUAACUUCGUG